GUUAAAACGAUUUUGGACAUUAGGAUCCUCUAUCUAUGUUUUCAUGUGUUGCGCGAUCGAUUGCUACUGCCUGAGUCGUCUUAAUGUAAAGAUGGAUGCCUGCCGAAAUAGGUUAUGUAUGUGGAUAGCCUAGACUCCAAACAACACAUUUGUGCAUUUCCUCCCGUUUUGUCCAAUGCUGGCUGCUCUACAGCAUGAACACAGAAGUAUCGGCUCAUCUCCUAGUUCUGGCAAAUGAAAAUGGAGGAGGUUUCAAUGUCCAGCCUGGACAACAGCAAGCUGGAGGGCGUGGCUCAGGACAUCCUGUCUGACCUGGUGGAGGAUGCUUGUCUGGGGGUGUGCUUCGAAGUCCAUCGGGCCGUCAAGCAGGGCUACUUCUUCCUGGAUGACACAGACCAAGAAAGCAUGAGGGAGUUUGAAAUUGUGGACCAGCCAGGGUUGGAUGUCUUCGGGCAGGUAUACAACCAGUGGAAGAACAAGGAGUGCGUCUGUCCUAACUGCAGCCGGAGCAUCGCUGCAUCGCGCUUCGCCCCGCACUUGGAGAAAUGUUUGGGCAUGGGGCGCAACAGCAGCCGCAUAGCCAACCGCAGAAUAGUCACCGGUGGUAACAACACAAACAACAAAUCCGAGAGCGAUCAGGAGGAUAACGAUGACGUCAAUGAUAAUGACUGGUCCUAUGGGGCGGAAAAGAAAGCUAAGAAGAGAAAAUCAGAUAAGAAUCCAAACUCACCCAGGAGAUCCAAAUCAUUUAAACACAAGAGUGGUGGCGCCUGUGGAAAUCAAAGCUGGUGUGCUUCAAGCAACCCCAAUGCUAGACCUACCAAACAGUGCAUAUGUACCUCAGUCUGUUUGGGGAACAGAAGAAUGCUAUAGUAUAUAUAUACUUUUUUUAAUACCCUUGUGUUGUCUUAAGGGGAAAAAUUACCCACCACUAUGUUUAACAGCAGAGAAAACCCCCUAGAUGAACUUCAGAUUUGAUGACUUUUCCUAGUGUGACCCGAACGUUAGAAAAAGGGAAACAUUGCCUUUGUUCAUAUUUCCAUGAAAGCUGUACACCACCAGGGUACAAAGAUUGUCUUAGGGUCAUUUUUGACCCGGCAGUUUAAAAAAAACAAUCCACCCCACAAAAACCACAAAGACACACAUACACAAUGAGAAAGUUAGAUUGUGUGCUGCUGAUUGAACUCCAACCAAAAACUAAAACUUUCUUGUGCAUGUGCUGCAUCUCCCCUCCAUGACCGCACACAUGACUCAAGUUCACAGGUAAAAUAAAAACAAUUUCAGAUAAAGUGAAACAUUUUUGAAAGCAUUGUUUACUAAUGGGGAAUGCAGCCGGAGGCUAUAAAGGUGCUGCAGAUGAGUGUCCCCAGUUCUUUCUUUGCUGAAGCCACAAGGGCAUGUUGAAACUGGAAACUAGUGCCCAGCAGGUCGAAGAGCUGAUGUUCUCAGAUGAGAAACAAGAGAACAAUGAUUUAGAAGAGGAGCUAUCUGAAAAAGAUGGGGAACAAUACAACCAGGAGUACAAUGCAUCAUCUUCAGAUGCAGAAGAAAUCCCCAAAGCUGAAAGAGAGACCUUAUUGAUUGAAGAACAGCACGAUGCCUCUGAAAGACUUUUACACUCUCAAGAAUGCCACGUUUGAUAGCCGGGGGUUAAGAUGUGUGAGAGGGACACUGGCGGCCAUAAGAGAGUUUUGGGGGAGGUGGGUGGAGUGUCUGCCAUGCCUCUACAACCCUGGGCCUGAAGUAACAGUGGAUGAGCACCUGGUUCCAUUCAGAGUUCGCUGUCCAUUCCAGCAGUAUGCCCAGCAUGCCAGCAAGGUAUGACAUCAAGAUAUGGGUGGCCUGUGAUGCACAGUCCAGGUACACUUAGAAGAUGCAAGUCUACACAGGAAGCUGACCAGUGAAGGGCCGGAUGUGGGUUGUGAUUGAUGUGACAGAUGGACUGAGGGGGCACAAAUAUACAUUUGACAAUUUCUUCACCUUUUAUGAACUCACCAUGUUUGACACAGUUAGAAGAACAAGCCAGAACUCCCCACUGCGCUCCUCGCAACAAGCAGGAACGAGGCCUUUUCAUUAAAGUUUGCCUUCACCCCCACGACCACUCUUGUUUCUUACCUUUCAAAGAGGAACAAGAAUGUGGUCCUCCUGAGCACACUGCACAAAAUGGUUAAGUUCAGCGAUUGUUAGGACCGGGAACAAGCCAUCAUCACCUGGACUACAACCAGAACAAAGUAGGACAACCUGGACAAGGUGGUUGGAACUUACCGCUGCAGGAGGAUAACAACUUCCGUAACAUUGAUGUGUCCUCAAACAAUGCCUUCAUGAUAUGGAACAAGAUCAACCCUACCUGGAUGCCUAAUAAGCAGAACAAUAGUGGGGUUCCUGGAGUAGCUGGGAAAGGCACUUGUAACCCUACACAUUCAAAAAAGUGCCCAGCACUGCAGCUGGUGCAGGCAAGAGGAGGAGAUGCUGAUUCUGCUCCCCCAAAAGAAGGACUGUGAAACAAAUACUAUGUGCUGCUGCUGCACAUGUGAGAAAUACAUCUGGAAAGUCCAUCCACACACACUUGCAUACUGUUCUACAUGUGCUAAUUAGAAUUGAUUGAUUCAUGGUCUUCAAGUUUUUAUUUUGCAUCUAUUAUCUUAUUUUAUUCUAAUUGUUGUUGUUUAUUCUCCUUGUGGGUGGGAGCAAUGGUUCAGAAAAUGAAAUACUAGUAUUUUGUGGUUGAAUUCCUCAAUGUACAGUAUAUAAGAAAAUAUCACAAUUUUUGUGUUAUUGUUUAUUUUCAAUAAAAUGCAUUCAAAACUACUUUCUGGACAUUUCUGCUAAUUUCAUAGGCUAUACAAGUGCUAUCUCUUGCUAAAAAAAAAGGAACGAGUGGUAUCCUCUGAUUAAAUGCAGUCUUUCUGCACUGUGAAGAGGGAAAACCCAGAUAUUCAUAAAGGUUGUGAUGAAUAAUAUGUUUAUUCAUGCAAAAUAGAUUUGGGGUUUAAAAUGCAAUUAAGCUGCUGGAUUUGAGGGGUUCAGUGAAGGUGGGUUAUUUUUGACAGUUUGGGGAAGCAUACAGAAGGAGAGUAUUAAGACCAUAUUAAAUGUAUUAAGGAUUCUAGUCAGUGGUGGAGGGAAGGCGGAGGGUCUUUGAGCUUUAGCUGUAACAGAAACAUGUAUGCCCAAUGGCAGAGUGAGCAGGUUUAUGGCUGUGAAGUUCUGCCUAUAGGUUAAACAGCGAGCAUAGUGGUGUGUCCUGUGUUUACCUAUUGGCACAAUGUUAUUUUCCAU